UUAGGUCAAAGCAUGUCACAACAACGAAUUCACCAAUUUCUUUAACUUAUAUUUCCAGGUAAAAACUCCAUUAGUAUCAAUACUUCUGUUCUUCUGGCUCUUUAAGACAAUCGUUCUUCAAAUAACCCUAAGUCUUCACUUAGAAGCAUUUUAUGAAGCUGUGAAACAUGCACAGGAUUGCUGCUCCAAGAUAUUAGCAACAAACAAUACAGCUGAGGACAUAAAGCUAUGUAAGAACGUCCAGCGUUUACACAACGCUUCCUAUACGAAGAUGCAUGCCUGUGGUCUGUUCUGUGUGGACAUCUGCCAGCCGCUGAGGCUGCUGGCCUUAAUCACCAACUACACUGUGGUGAUGUUGCAGUUCGCGUUUCUGUAGUCCUGGUUUCACCAAAUUCCCAUAACCAACCAGUAAACUGUGUUGGUUAUGGGAAUUUGGUUUUAUUUCCCUUUAUUGGGCUGGUUUUCUGGCCAAUGUUGAUGUUAAUAAAGAUAGCAGAAAAAAGAGUGGUUGUGAUGAAAAUAUGUGAGAAGAUACCCAUGACAUUGGAUCGAAUUUUGAGAUUCCUACAAAGGUUCUGUAAUUCUGCAUACGAUGAAAAUAAUAUGAACAAUGAUUUUGUAAUAAAUAAUUAUAAUUUAAUAACAACAUAUUUUAACAACAAUAUAUAAUUAAUCAGUACAGUCGAGGCUUUGGUCAUUGUCAUUUUUCCCCCAACACUUUUGAUCACGAACCUUUUCUUUAAAGCCGGAUGAGUUGACCAAAGAAAAAUAAUAAUAAUAUUAAUGCGGACAACUUAUCCUGCGGGAUAAGUGCUGACCGGGAUGAGUUGACCGAAUCCUCAUCUUCAUCCAAGUACAGUUUCUGACCGAAUUCAAUUAGAGUAUCUUCCCAGAACUUUAUUUCUUCGGCAUCUGGCUCGUUCCCGGC